rnacentral:tRNA from 1 species
GCCGCGGUGGCGAAAUUGGUAUCCGCGCACGACUCAAAAUCGUGUGGAGAAAUCCAUGAGAGUUCGAGUCUCUCCCGCGGCA